rnacentral:lncRNA from 1 species
AUGGCAUCACUGACAACCCAGCAAGGAAAUGGAUGGAGAGGAAACCCCUGCAGAGAAGCAUUAAUGAAUGGGUUGGACUCGCCCCGCUUAUUAGAUGAGAGCGAUGGGCAGCCCUCUCAUUGUGACCACCAGUGUCGGAGGUGUCCCUGUAGCCAUCACGCCAAGCCUUGGCCCAGCGAAGCCCCCACUCUCCCAGCAGCAGUCCAGAGGCUGAAUCUCGACUGUAAAAGCCAACCUGUCUGCACCCACAACCUUUGUUCGCAGCUUAUUGGGUCCACCUUGCCUUCAAUCUUCUCCAGGACAGGGGGCCUGGUGCUCUGGCACUGGGAUACCACUAAGGAAGACCUUCUUCUCCACCUGUGAACUGAAACAUUUCUCCCAAGUGGAAAAUAAGGAGGCAUCAGAGACUCUUGGCAUAAAAAGGAAGGAGCCCAUCCACCAAGUGAGCUGGUACCACCGACUUGGGAGGAUAAACAGCCCUUAAUCAAAACCUUGCUCCAGGGAGAAAAGCAGGUGGCCCAGGGUUAUUACAGGAAAUGUGAUUGACUGACGUCCCCUGGGAGAGAAACUUUAAGCUCAAGAUGGGAGAAAGACCUGCCCUUUCAGAGCUUACUCCAGCCACUCGUGGGCUGCUAGGGGAGGGAUUUUUUUGUUUUUGUUUUUGAGACGGAGCCUCACUCUGUCCCCCAGGCUGGAGUGCAGUACAACCUCUGCUUCCUGGGUUCAAGCAAUUCUCCUGCCUCAGCCUUCUGAGUAGCUGGGACAAUAGGUGAGUACCACCACGCCUGGCUAAUUUUUUUUUUUUUGUAUUUUUAGUAAAGAUGGGGUUUCACCAUGCUAGCCAGGUUGGUCUCGAACUCCUGACAUCAAAUGAUCCACUCGCCUCGGCCUCCCAAAGUGUUGGUAUUACAGGCGUGAGCCACUGUACCCGGCCCUCCUGGGGUAGUUUUGUGCCCAUGCUAGCUCUCACUCAUCAUGCAGUUGGUAGCCCAUAAAAGGAGCCGGAGGAGGGAGGACGGGUGUGUAAGUGACCUUGAGAAAUAGUGAUGACCCAAGAUGCAUGAUUUUGCCAACCUCCGCCUCCUGGGUUCAAGCAAUUCUCCUGCCUCAGCCUCCCAAGUAGCUGGAACUACAGGCGCCGGCCACCAUGCCUGGCUAAUUUUUGUAUUUUUAGCAGAGAUGGGGUUUUGCCAUUUUGGCCAGGCUUCCCCACCUUGGAAUUGGUAAGAAUUACCGAUUAAUUAAGACAGCUGGCGACUACUGGAGGCUUUGCCUGCUAUCUGGAGGACACAGAUUUGCCCUCCAGCUUUUCUGCCCUGUAGUGACAAUUCAUAGACACCCCAACCCUGGGUAGCCCUGGGCCUUUGCUUUGCUCCUUUCUUUCCCCACUUCUCCACCUGCUGAAAUCUCAAUCCACCUGCUAUGCUUAGCAUAAGCGCUACCACCUCUAAGAAAUGAAUCCCCUCCCAGUGCCCUCCCUUCUCACUUGCAGGCAUCUGCCUUGAAUUCAGUGUGUGUUUGUUUGUUUGUUUUGAGACUGAGUCUCGCUCUGUCACCCAGGCUGGAGUACAGUGGUACGCUCUUGGCUCACAGCAACCUCUGCCUCCUGGGUUCAAACAAUUCUCCUGCUUCAGCCUCCAGAGUAGCUGGGAUUACAGGCAUGCGCCACCAUGCCUGGCUAAUUUUUGUAUUUUUAGUAGACACUGGGUUUCGUCACAUUGUCUAGGCUGGUCUUAAACUCCUGACCUCAAGUCAUCCACCCACCUCAGCCUCCCAAAGUGCUGAGAUUACAGGCGUGGGCCACCGCGUCCAGCCUGAGCCACUGCACCCAGCCAAAGUUCAUAGUGUUUGGAUGGAUGGCCUCCUUGGAGGGGCUGUGCUUGAUCCAAGUCUGCACCCCACAAUGUCUGGCUGGUGUCGUCUUCAGACGGGGCAAGAGGCAGGGAGACACAGGGCAAGGAGUCAUUGGGGCCAAGACACUUGCCCACCCAGAACCAUGUCCUGGAUACCUGCGACCUGGGAAUUCCCUGCCAACAGGUUCUGAACCCACUUCUCUAGGUCCAGUCUCCUGAAGGUGGAUGGUCUCACCAAUGUGCACACUAGAGAGGUGACCCUUUAGGGAGCAGACAUUUGCAGAGAUGGGGACAGAGCUUGGAUAUGAGGACGUGAAAGAUCCCUCAUAGCAUGGGAUGGAUCCGGCCUGGGAAUAGAAGGAAGCCACGCCAUGGCCUUAAGCUGUGCCAUCACACCUAGAAUGUUGAGGAAUGCAAGAAUUGCAAACUUGAACUUGACCUUCCAGAUUGUUAGGAAGGUGUAUCUGCUCAGAUAGGAGGAUAAAACAUGUUUUAUUUAACAGUUUGUUAGCU